UAUAGAUUUGCUUUUUCUGUAGAAACUUUAAUUUUCAUUAUUGUUGAUUUGUUGUCUUUUUAGGAGAAACCUGACAAUCAUAGUCACUGCUGGUUUGGGCUUAGUCUGUUUUAGUUGAUAUAUAACUGCACUUUUGCUUCUUAUAGCAUCCAAACUUGAAAUAUAAAUUUUGAUUCAGAAAAGCUCAAGGGAUUUACUUAAAUCAAACUGAAUUAAAUUGAAAUCCCCAACACCCUAAGAGUCAAGGCUUUAACACAAUUUGUUUGAGUCUAUCGUAAUUAAUUUAUCCUGCUCAGCAUUUUAUUUCAUUUUUUUUCCUGUUAUUUUAAGAAAAUGUACACAUGACUGCCCAAUCCAAACCUCCUGAUGGGUUGUUUCAUGUGUACUGGGAAUGGGAGAGGAAGUGGGGAAGGAGAACGGAGGGGCAUGGAGGCAUCAGUGGAUAACACUAUACUUGUUUUUUUUCCCCCAAAUAAACUGUGUGAGAUGUUGUGAGAUGAUUAAAAACUGACAUUAGUGGAUUUUUACUGUGUAUUUUUUUCUUUCCCACUUAUCAAAUUAACAUUUUCCCAUUUUCUUCAGAUUUAUUCUAUUUCAACCAUGUUCUGACGAUGCCAGGUAACAGAGGGCUGUUGCUUCAAUUGCCAGGUUUUCUAAUGCUCAUAAAACAAAUAUUAGAUUCCAAAUUUCUUAUUGCCUUCUGAGUUGUCAUGGUUAUCAAAUGACACCUUCUCUAAAUUCUCUCUCAUUUUAACUCUUUUUCGUGCUUUGUAUAAACAGGCUGCUUGAAAAUCAAAGAAAAAAAAAAACAUCAAGUUUGGGUGCUAUAAGAAGCAAGAAACACAGAAGGAAAGAAAUAUUUUGUUAACCACAAAUUGAAAGUGGAAAGAUUUUAUCCAGAAGCAUUAAAUGUCAUUAAACAUAAGAAGUCUAAAAAAUACCUGCUUUAUAUAAUGGUUCUCUGAACAAGCUCUCGGCAACUUGCAGCCUGCUAAAUUUUAUUUACUAUAGAUCCACCCAUACAGCUUGUUUGUGCUUAUGUGCGAAGUAUUACAGCAAAUAAAGAGACAACAGUGGAGAACCUAAGAGCCACAUGGACAUGAAGAAUGUUCCUGGAGCAACAUUACCAUUUUUCAUAGUUGGAAAAACUGAGUAUCAUACAAUAGACUGAGAAUUCAAAUAUUUAUAGAACAAAAGCUGAUAAUAAAGACAUGCUGUCAGACCUCAAGAUAUACAGAGAAGUAACAGCUACGUUGACGAAAGAAUAUUAGAAGAAUAAAUAUUUUACCUAAGAAAACACCUUUAGCUACUUCACUGCUAAGAUACUUUCAGUGCUGCCCAUUAUACUUAAAACCACUCCGAAGAGCAGAAAAAAGUUUCGGAUACACAUUCACGCCAUCCUUCUACAUCAGAAGUGAAUGGUGUGCACUUCUCAAUGGCAUCGUUUUCCCCCUUCCCACAUGAGUUUCGAAACCAUCUCAUAAGCCUGUCAGGCAUAUUUCUUGUUCAUUCCUUCUGUGGGGCAGAGGCAGACAGAUUGCUGGAUCAGAUAGUGCAAUACGCUGUAUACUGCAUUUGAAAUGUGCCUUUUUUUAAAGCAGCAGAUUUAUUGAUUUUCUUAAGUAGAAAAUAUGCACCCGGACAUUAGACAAACACAGACUAAACACAGACUGAGGAAAAGCUGAUAAUUUGAUUAAACUGACUGAGCUUUUGUUGUCUGUGUUUGGGGAAUUUCCAAUAAUGCACAAGUGCCAAGCGCCCCUCUUCUACUGAAUUUAACAAAUGUAAUCCCUAAACACAAUGAAUGUUACAAUUAUACUGUAUUUGGAGAAUUGUUUUUCUUUAGAAAAAUAUUUUGAUGAGCCUAUAUAUUGCUUAGGUUGAAAGGAAGGGCGGGGUAAAAAUCUUGCCUUGCUCAAGAUACAGGACUUCAUUCAGAAAGGGGUCUAAGUAUUAGCUAGGGAAAAAGCAUUCAUUCAAUGGAAAUAUUUUCUUUCUUUCUAUCUACAUACCUAUCAAGAUUACAGAGAUAUAAUUGAUUAAAUGUAAUUUCCUCAAUUUUAGGGUCAAAUUGAGUUCAAUAUUUAAGGUUUAUAUUGCUUCACAGUGUCAUUUCACAUGUCGUAGGGAACAGUUUAGUUGUCUCAAGAUGUCAAAAAGCUCUGGUUAUUUAAUUUACUCUUAUGGAUGCCUGCAAUGAAAUUAGUGGCAGAAAGGGUGUGUGUGUG